rnacentral:rRNA from 1 species
CACCAUUUAAAGAGUGCGUAAUAGCUCACUGGUCAAGUGACCUUGCGCCGAAAAUGUAACGGGGCUCAAGCACGGUACCGAAACUGCGGACUACUCGAGGUUCGAUGUUCGAGGUUCGAAAUUCGAAAGGGGCUAAAGUGUUGAUUAAGAGUUAUCAUGACCUUGAAGUAUACAAAAGGUCAUAUAACCUGGCACUGCAAGUGCAUAGAUUAACACAGAGAUUUCCAAGACACGAAUUGUAUGAGAUAGGGAGUCAACUACGUAGAGCAGCCAUAUCAAUACCGCUAAACAUAGCCGAAGGAUAUGGUAGGAAGCAAUACGUAAACGACUUCAGGCACUUCCUAAUAAAUGCAUUAGGCUCGUGCAAUGAAGUAGCUGUGUUGAUCGAAAUGGUCAAAGACCUGGGGUACGUUAUAGAACAAUAUAGCGAACUCAGGGAAGAAUACGACCAUCUAGGCAGACAGCUAAAUAAACUCAUACAAACGUGGAAAUGAAAUCGAACAUCGAACAUCGAACUUCGAGAGUGGUAGGGGAGCGUUCCCAUUGGGUAGAAGCCGUACCGGAAGGAGCGGUGGACCGGUGGGAAGUGAGAAUGCCGGUAUGAGUAAGCGAAAAGGCAGG